rnacentral:lncRNA from 1 species
AGAGAUUAUCCCACCUCUGUUUCCUCUGAGAGAAAAGUCAACAUGUGUGGGUAAGUAUGAAAUUGAAGCUUUUUUUUUUGUAAAGUGUGAUUAUUGAAGAUUGGACUGAUUGGACUUGUGAUAGGAUGCCUGAGGAUGUAGAACAUAGGCCCACGAGAGAAGAAAAACUCAAAAGCAAUGCCUGGGUUAACAAAUGUAAUUUUAAGUACAUAAUCAUUUCAGUUAGCAUUUACCAAGGAAUUCAUAAAAAGGAAGGAUGAGAUUUUUUAAAGACAUUUCCCCUGGACUUUCAUAAAAGCUUUUUUUUUUUUUUAAUCAUUUAGCAGACAUAACACCUUUUGACGUGUUGUGAGCCUUCGGUGACCAUGCAAUUCUGACCUAACUGUGGUUCCACAUUCCCUAAAGUUAUUUGAAUGUGAUCUGAAGGCAACAGCAUUAAAUGAAUGUCUCAUAAUUUCUUGCCACAACUGUAUUUUCUUUUAAUGUAAAUAGAAUCAUGGUUUUAUUGCACUUUAAAAAUGUUACUUAUGUUCUCGAUUCCAUAAGGUAUUGAAAGACAUGAGCUUGAGUCUCAUGCCAUGUUGAACAAGAAUGUAGCCCUGCACAAUUAAAAUCAAUUACAUGCUCAAAUGCUUUUCAGGAACAGAGCCAGCGUGGUCAGCACUCAGCAUCGUUCUACUGGCAGAAAAAUCUUGAAAAGCUCAACCAGAAAUAAGAUGGACAGUAUUACAGCAUAUGAACAAAGAAUCUUAAUUCUUAAUUCUCUGGUUAAAAAAAAAAAAAAGGAUCAGAAUAUUAAGAAUAUCCUUAAAGAUAUUGAAAUGCUCCUGGACCUUCUUGGCUAAUUUUUGAUCAUGUUCAUGGAAUGUGCAAGAUCUACAAUGCUGGAGAAAACAUCAGACAUGAUGUGUGUUAGUAAAGGUACCACUGAAAUAUCUGGCAUCACACUAUCUGUUUAAUACAGCACAUUAAAAGUAUGGCAGAAUACUCUGAAAAGUAUUAUUUGUGCUAUAUAGGUGUCCAUAAUUGUAAUCCAUAGUAGUUAAACUGAUUAUAAAGAUUCUUCCAUUUUCCAGAAUACUCCUAGUAAAAGAGAUACUUUUAUGUUUCCCAUAUUUUGUAAAGUAAUAAGAAAUUCAGCUGAUUUUAAAUGAGAGUAGAUUUGUAUGUCAUAUAAAAGGCUGUGUUGGAUAUAAGAAAAUAAAAACAAGAAAUGCUUGUCA